GGCUUUUAUGACACUUUCCAAAUCUUAAACUAAUAACUAAAAAAGAAAAAAACAAGAAAACAAACAAAAAACCUUGUGUCAGAAAAACAAAAAAACCAACCCAUAUUGGCUCUCAGAUCAACACCUUGUACAUUUGUGGAUCAGAUAAACUCUGAAGUCCCUUCAGAGGGAGUCUUUGUAGAAAAUGAAAUGGUCACUCCAGUCAUGGAGAUGUUCCAUGCCUUAAAUUGUGAAACCCAAAGUGGAUUACCUGGUUGACCUCAGAACUCUGAGGUAGUGGACAAAUCCUAGCACCUUUUGGGGCCACCAUCUUCCUAUGCUGCAAUGAAGAGCCUGAGUGUCUCUGGGGAUGCAGGGAUAAACCCAAUACCCACUGAGCCCCUGGUAUAUGUCAAGGACCUUCAUGAAUCAUACCAUUUGUAUUAGCUGGGGUUGUGCUGAGAAACAGAACCAUGAGUAGAUAGAUAGAGGAGGAGGUUGUUAGUCGCUCAGUUGUGUCCGACUCUUUGUGACCCCAUGGACUGUAGCCUGGAAGGUUCCUCUGUCUAUGGGAUUUCUUAGGCAAGAAUUCUGGAAUGGAUUGCCAUUCCCUUCUCCAGGAGAUUUUCCCAACUCAGGGAUCGAACCUGGGUCUCCUGCAUUGCAGACAGAUUCUUCACCAUCUGAGCCACAUGGGAGAUGAUUAAAUUGAUGAUAGAUAGAUAGGAGAUGGAUAGAUGAUAAAUUAGAUAGAUGGAUAAUGAUAGAUGAUUAGAUGGAUAAGUAGAUAAAUGAUAGAUGAUAAAUAGAUCACUAAUAGGUAAUAAAUGGAUAGACAGGUAAUAGAUAGAUAGAGGAUAGAUAGAUAGAGAUGGAUUUUAGGAGGUUGGUUUGUGUGAUUAUGAAGGCUAGCAAGUUGAAAAUCUGCAAGGAGGGCCAUCAGGCUGAGACCCAGAAGAGAUAAUGGUAUAGUUCUAGUUUGAUGGUCACCUGCUGGCAGAAUCCCCUCUUGUUCAGCAGAGGUCAGUCUUUGUUCUACUCCUCAGGCCUUCAACUUUUCAAAUGAGGCUCACCCACAUUAUAAAGGCUAAUCUGCUUUACACAGAUUUCAAUAUUAAUCUCAUCUGGAAAAAAAAAAAAAACAGCCUCUUAGAGACAUCAAGAUAAUGUUUGACCAAAAGGCUGGACAAAGUGACCUGCUCAGUUCAGUUCAGCCACUUAGUUGUGUCCAACUCUUUGCGACCCCAUGGACUGCAGCACCCCAGGCUUCCCUGUCCAUCACCAACUCCCGGAACUUGCUCAAACUCAUGUAUAUCGAGUCAGUGAUGCCAUCCAACCAUCUCAUCCUUAGUCGUCCCCUUCUCCUCCUGCCUUCAAUCUGUCCCAGCAUCAGAGUCUUUUCCAAUGAAUCAGUUCUUCACAUCAGGUGGCCAAAGUAUUGGAGC
ensembl:lncRNA